GAGUUUUGAGAGGGAGCCCAAAGAGCACAAAUGAUACAUAGAAGAGAAAAGGAGAGGACUUGCCAGAAAGCUGGGAUGACCCAAGCAUUCUGCCAGUGCUCAUUGUAAACAUCAUUCGACUUGAAAUACAACUCAUAGCAAAUCCAACCCACUGAGACAAUAACUGAUACUGCCAAAGCAUUUGUGAAUUUCCGGUAUAUAUCCAGCUUGACCAUCAUCCGCCUAGCCUGAAGCUUAUUUAAAGUGGCAGAAAGGGACUUGAAUAUCCAAAUAAUGAAAAAAGCAUCCAAGAGAGCCACAGGAAGAACCAAAAAAAGUCUUGCCUUCCCUGAAAGAUCACUGACAGCACCCGCAUUCUCUACCAAUUCAAGCACUUCAGAGGCCAGAAAAAAGGUCGCUCCAAGCAUGAUCACCUUUGAGGUAAGGCCACCUAGGGUAGAUCUCACAACACCAUAACCCAUUGAUACCAUGAGAAUUAUGAGACGUGCAACCGUGCGUUUAACUGUACCAAAAGUGACUGCCCAGAUAGUGAUGCCAGUCGGCCUAACUCCAGUUUCAUUGAAUUCAGCAUAAUCAAAAUACCAGAGAGCCAUCUCAAACAUGCCUAGUGUUAUCACCAGUGUUAUACAAUUCAGCAGUGGAAAAACUUCUCUCCAAUAUCUUGCAUACUGAUAGAACCAAAAUACUCCAAGUAUAACAAAAGCAAGGGACAUGAACCCAUAGAAAUUCAUUAGUGGAGCCAUUCUACCAGGUAAAUAGCCAGCAGGAUUUUUCCAUAUAGUUUUUCCUUCUACAACUACACCUUUAAGAUUGGGAUCACAGUGCAUGAAAUACAAAUUAUACAUCCCAGUUUUAGUGACCUGUAUUGAUCUAGAAGGUAAUGUUGCAACUAGCUCAUAUGCAUUGAAUGAAACACCAAAGACAUGGGGCCAGCUAGGAUCCUUUGUUGAUGGGCGGUGAAUGACUUCUCCUUCUGUGCACGCACCCAAUUUAGCGAGAUCUGCCCUGCAGCAGAUAGCUCUUUGACCUCCAUAGGCUGAACCCCCAAUCGUCUCUCUAUCUUCUACCUCAAAAACAAUGGCUUGGACUAACCCCGAGGUAAAGUUAGAAAAUUCCUCAGUUCU
rnacentral:misc_RNA from 1 species